rnacentral:misc_RNA from 1 species
GGUUAUCAUCGUCCGGCU